UACGAAGGGGGCUAGCGUUGUUCGGAAUCACUGGGCGUAAAGCGCUCGUAGGCGGAUCUUUAAGUCAGAGGUGAAAUCCCAAGGCUCAACCUUGGAACUGCCUUUGAUACUGGGGAUCUCGAGUCCGGGAGAGGUGAGUGGAACUGCGAGUGUAGAGGUGAAAUUCGUAGAUAUUCGCAAGAACACCAGUGGCGAAGGCGGCUCACUGGCCCGGUACUGA
rnacentral:rRNA from 1 species